ensembl:misc_RNA Y_RNA Y RNA
GGCUAGACCAAUGGUAGUGAGUUAUCUCAAUUGAUUGUUCACAGUCAGUUACAGAUUGAACUCCUCUACUCACUCCCCUCUUCUUGCUACUGCACUUGGCUAGUCUUUA